AUCACAUUGCAAGACAGAACCCGAUUGUCUCCUUUAUCUCCUCUACCAGACUUUGUGCUCCAUCAGUUGAAGAGUAGGAUGAAAAAAAAAAAAGGUUAUAUGAAGAUGAUGGAAUUAUAAUCAGGCCUUGAAGAAUGGAGACAAUUCCAGCCAUUGUUGCAGAUGUGGAGGCUGAAGGACAUUCCAAUUUGAAGAAACAGAAGAUGGGAUCUCACUCUGUUGCCCAGGCUGGUCUCCUCCUGCCUUGGCCUCCCAAAGUGUUGGAAUUACAAGCGUGAGCCACCGUGCCUGGCCCUGAAUAAGUUUCUUGACCCAGAGUUCCUGAAGAGGAGGAUGGGAACCUUGGAGGCUGUUUCUCCAGGCUGGGUCUUGCUCUGUCACCCAAGCUGGAGUACAGUGGCAUGAUCAUGGCUCACUGCUGCCUCGACCUCCAGGGCUCAAGUGAUCCUCCCACCUCAGCCUCCCACCUCAGCCUCUGGAGUACCUGGGACCACAGAGAUGUGGGUCUCCCUGUGUUGCCCAUGCUGGUCUCGGACUCUGGAGCUCAAGUGAUCCUGCCUUGGCCUCCCAAAGGGCUGGAAUUACAGGAAUGAGCCACUGCAUCAGGCCAACUUGCUACAUUUUAUACUUUCAACUAAUAAGGAAUUCUGGAAGCAGCAUCUACCUCUAUUUUAGCAGGGCUUUUUUCACUGCAAGA